UCCCUGGUGGUCCAGUGGCCAGGACUUGGCAUUCCCAAUGCUGUGGACCUGGGUUCAAUCCCCGGUGAGGGAA